GUAUUGAUGAAGAGUCUCAAAUGUGGAGGACGAAACAGCUGUCCAGUAC
rnacentral:hammerhead_ribozyme from 1 species